rnacentral:rRNA from 1 species
GUCGCCGGCCAAAGAGAAGUGGUAAGAUCCGUACCCUUUUCGAACACGGUAAUGAAUCGCUUCAUCGAUUUUGGCUGUACUGUAGAAAAUACGGGAACCCAAAGACGCUGGCGACC